rnacentral:rRNA from 1 species
CACGUAGUUAGCCGGGGCUUUUUUCUUGAGGUACCGUCAUUAUCUUCCCUCAUAAAAGAGCUUUACGACCCGAAGGCCUUCUUCGCUCACGCGGCGUCGCUGCAUCAGGGUUUCCCCCCAUUGUGCAAUAUUCCCCACUGCUGCCUCCCGUAGGAGUUUGGACCGUGUCUCAGUUCCAAUGUGGCCGGUCACCCUCUCAGGCCGGCUACUGAUCGUCGCCUUGGUGGGCCGUUACCUCACCAACUAGCUAAUCAGCCGCGAGUCCAUCUUUGACCGAAUUUCUUUGACUAAUUGAUCAUGUGACCAGUUAGUGUCAUUUGGUAUUAAUCCCAGUUUCCCGAGGCUAUCCCAAUGUCAAAGGCAGGUUACUCACGUGUUACUCACCCGUCCGCCGCUAAUCCAUUUCAUCUUCACCCCGAAGGGUUCUGUCGAAAUUUCAUCGCUCGACUUGCAUGUGUUAAGCGCGCCGCCAGCGUCGUCCUCGUGUCCAGGAGUCAACCUACCUACUUACGAGUACCUGUACC